GCAUACUUGGCUCUGUGGUUCAGCACCUGCUUGGCACGCAGAAGGUCCUGGGUUCAAUCCCUGGCAGCAUCA